GCGUAGGUGAUGGACAACAGGUUGAUAUUCCUGUACUACCGAUAACCGUUUGAGAGAAGGGAUGACACAGUAGGAUAAGCUAAGCACACUGUUGGUUAUGUGUGCCCAAGCAUUGAGGCAGUCAAAGUAGGCAAAUCCGCUUUGAUAAUGCUGGGAUGUGAUGGGGAGCGAAAUUUAGUAGCGAAGUAGCUGAUUUCACACUGUCAAGAAAAGUCUCUAUCGAGGUUAAAGGUACCCGUACCGCAAACCGACACAGGUGGGUGAGGAGAGUAUCCUAAGGCCAGCGAGAGAACUGUUGUUAAGGAACUCGGCAAAAUGACCCCGUAACUUAGGGAUAAGGGGUGCCACCAUCAGGUGGCCGCAGAGAAUAGGCCCAAGCGACUGUUUACCAAAAACAUAGGUUUCUGCUAAGUCGCAAGACGAUGUAUAGGAGCUGACGCCUGCCCGGUGCUGGAAGGUUAAGGGGAUCUGUUAGAGCAAUCGAAGCAGUGAACUUAAGCCCCAGUAAACGGCGGCCGUAACUAUAACGGUCCUAAGGUAGCGAAAUUCCUUGUCGGGUAAGUUCCGACCCGCACGAAAGGCGUAACGAUUUGGGCACUGUCUCAACAACAGACUCGGUGAAAUUGUAAUUCCGGUGAAGAUGCCGGAUACCUGCGACAGGACGGAAAGACCCCAUGGA
rnacentral:rRNA from 1 species